CCUACGGGAGGCAGCAGUGGGGAAUAUUGGACAAUGGGCGCAAGCCUGAUCCAGCCAUGCCGCGUGAGUGAUGAAGGCCUUAGGGUUGUAAAGCUCUUUUGUCCGGGACGAUAAUGACGGUACCGGAAGAAUAAGCCCCGGCUAACUUCGUGCCAGCAGCCGCGGUAAUACGUAGGUGCCAGCAGCCGCGGUAAUACGUAGGUGCCAGC
rnacentral:rRNA from 1 species